AGUAGCCAGCCUGGGCAAGACUUGCCUUUCACCGCAUGCACUCCCAUCGUUCUGGCUCCACAGGCAUCCUUUAUGGCCAUAGCAUCGUCCCUCUUCACAUUAUCAGUAAAGGCUAUGUCACUGCAGAAGAUACUGAGGAGUAUACUGUGUAGUUUUCCAGAGGCUAAAUGACAUGUGACACCGAAGCCAACUAAAUAUCAAAGAAGAUAUGAGUAUCCACCUGCAAAAUUGGAUGGAAUCCAAUUUCAUCUAUUAAGAUACCAAAAUAAUUUCCCUUUCUCACCUUGAAAUGACCUGAGCUAACAGAAGAAAUUUUCCUGCAUUGCUUAUGAG